AAACUGAAGAGUUUGAUCCUGGCUCAGAUUGAACGCUGGCGGCAUGCCUUACACAUGCAAGUCGAACGGCAGCACGGGUGCUUGCACCUGGUGGCGAGUGGCGAACGGGUGAGUAAUACAUCGGAACAUGUCCUGUAGUGGGGGAUAGCCCGGCGAAAGCCGGAUUAAUACCGCAUACGAUCUAUGGAUGAAAGCGGGGGACCUUCGGGCCUCGCGCUAUAGGGUUGGCCGAUGGCUGAUUAGCUAGUUGGUGGGGUAAAGGCCUACCAAGGCGACGAUCAGUAGCUGGUCUGAGAGGACGACCAGCCACACUGGGACUGAGACACGGCCCAGACUCCUACGGGAGGCAGCAGUGGGGAAUUUUGGACAAUGGGCGAAAGCCUGAUCCAGCAAUGCCGCGUGUGUGAAGAAGGCCUUCGGGUUGUAAAGCACUUUUGUCCGGAAAGAAAUCCUUGGCUCUAAUACAG
rnacentral:rRNA from 1 species